UUGUUAUUUUGAGGAUGAAGGUUUCCUCUCCAUCUCCACUGUCUGAAGUCAACAUCAGGAGUACUGUGUUACAACAGAUUAAAGAUGUACUGGUGAAACAAGGGUUGCCCUCAAACACGAUUGUACGCCUUGUGAGUGGUGUGUAGUGUGGUAAUUAAUAACCACAGCGACCCCUGUUGAUUGAACAUUUGCUGACCCGUGGAGAGAAAAGUUGUCAGGUUCCUGUCAAAUUUUAAACAUUAAAACAUGUUUAAAGUCAAUUAAUGGUCAGCUUUAAUGUAUAAAUAUCAUGGCGUACACUAAGGACAAAUAUUUGACUGUAUAAUGUAUAGAACAUAUGUAAAAUUACACUCUAGUCAUUGUUGUUUAACCAAACUUUAUUUUUUUAUGUAAAUAUUUGACUGGAUAAUGUAUAAGGUUCCUGUUGGAGUGUGUAUUAAAAUAUCUUGCUGCCUUUGAUUAUUUGUCCAAUAUGUGCUGUAUGUCCAUUUAUAACCAACUGCAAAAAAUGUACUUGCAAAC